rnacentral:misc_RNA from 1 species
AAGUCGUAACAAUGUUUCCGUAGGUGAACCUGCGGAAGGAUCAUUAACACGUAUCCAAACGUUAAAACCCCAGGUGAUUCAGAGACCUCUGGCUACGUGCGAACAUUGGAACAGUUACAAUCGAGCGGUAGUUCUAUAGGCAAUGUUUCUCCAAGCAGUCAGUGUCGGAAAGUGUCAUUGAUUGUGCAAGGAUAGCGCUUCUACGAUUCCUGUAGACCGUACACUCGGGCAGGAGCUUUGCCAAAGGGUCCCCAUGCCCCCUAAUAACCCCACAGUUUAAUGUGAAGCUCAAUGUAAUACAUUGGGUAAAAAAACCGAACAACUGUUAACAAUGGAUAUCUUGGUUCUC